CAAGCAAUCCUUCGACGCACAGGCGAGCAGUUGACUAAAAAAAAGAAGCACAGGAGCACGGCCUCGGCGCACAAGAUACGGAGGUGAGCGCUCUGCGUGGCAGAGUCGCUCCCGUGUCGGGGCGCCGGCAGGAGGCCCCACGGCGGCGGUGAGCCGCGAAGGAGAAGAAGGAGCGCCAGGGAGGGGGACGCUCCCGUGCUCCCAUUCUCCCCCCGUCUCGCUCUGCCGAGGAAGGAAGGGCAUGGCCCUGCGAGCGGCCGCGACGAGGCUCGCGUCCUCCAGCCUCCGCCGCCGCCACGGCCACCUCCUGCCGGCAUCCACCACCAGCUUUAGAUUCAAGCAGGUGCACGAGGACGAGAAGAGCAAGCUGGUUGGAAACGGAGAAGAUGUUCAGGCCCGGCGCGACGGGCGGAGCAGCAGAGGUUCAGGCGCGGCGCGGCGGGCGGAGCAGCAGAGGUUCAGGCGCCGCGCGGCGGGCGGAGCAGGAGAGGUUCAGGGGAGGUGCCAGCGGAGCAGGAGAGGUUCAUGGGUGGUGGAGCAGGAGAGGUUCAUCGCCGGUGCCCUUGUCGCCGAACGGCCAUCCUUGCUGCGCUUGAUGGAGGACAGAACGGGAAACAUUUUCUGGUGGGUACGCCGGCCGCGGGCGCGCUUCGCUGUGACCUGUCCGCCGCCGCCAAUCCUCUCCGGCCUCCUCCGUAUCCUUAUCAAUCUCGGACGAGCUAUUCCCAUGUCGUGAUUUGGAUGGACAAUAGGAGGCCGUGUCCUUCUCGAACACCAAGCAAUGGAGUGCCCGACCCGGAUUUGAGUUGUUUGCUAUAAGAAGGAGCGGUCCUCGGCCAAAAUCUCCAUCAGAUUGCGUCCUUGGACCAUAAGCUCCAUCAAAGCCCGUCCAAAUUGCUUUUUUGACGCAACGUGUAAUGUCGCCGUCGAGUUCGCCGAAGGAGGAAGUGCCGAGUUUGCCGGAGGAACAAGACCAUCUGUCCAACCGUCCAAUUUCGCAUGCCUCGGCUACACCAGAGGUGGCAAAGGCAUCCAAUCCAACUUAGGUGGAGGCCAAGGAGGUUCGGCUCUCGGACCUUGCACCAAUGAUGCUGGAUGAUACCGACGUGGAGACUUUAAUUUGCCGCAUAAGUGUCUUCCGUAAGAUGCUAUAAGGAUCACAUAACUUCCUUUACCGAAUACAGCGCUGACGGUGGCAGGACACUUUCUAUAUGCAGUUCUCCAACUUUGAGGAUGGUGGCCACCUGUUUCUUGAUUGUAAACUGAUCAAGCAACGAUGGCGAGCACUGCUGUUUGAGGAUAUCAGACUUAGACUGCUCCAGUGUACAUCUGCCAAAGAAAUUAUGUCUAUAAUCCUUGACCUGCCAGAGGAGAGGAAGCUGUUAUCCAUCGCUUUGCUCUGGUGUUGGUGUAUGGAACGGAACAGGGGCAAUCAUGGGGAGCGACGGCUGGAAGUUGAAGCUUUUCGAUACACUGUCUGUCACCACGCUAAUGAAUGGAAAGAGUUUUUGAGCGCUAAGCCUACUGAACCGAUCGUGCGGCAGCAUAAGUGGGAGAAGCCUCCAAGCAAUAUGGUGAAAAUAAACGUCGAUGCUGCGUUUGCAGAACAAAGGGGAGUUGGAGGCUGGGGCCUGAUCUACAUAGAUGACGCUCAAGAUAUUCGUUUUGCAGUGGCUGGAGCUCAGCAUAAUCUGCACAAUGCCCUACAAGCUGAAGUUGUUGCUCUUUCCAAGGCAGCGACUCUGGCGGAUAGGUUAGGAGUUGGGCGCGUCAUUUUUGAAACUCACUGUAUGGUCCUUAAGUAAGCAAUGAACUCAAACGACUAUGAGUUGGCGUAACUGGGUGUUUUGUUUAGUGAUAUCAGGUUCAGACUUAGGACCCUUUUCAUUGA